GGUGGCUUAGUGGCUAGAGCGUCCGCCUCAAAAUCGGGAUGUCGUGGGUUCUAUCAACGGUCGAGUCAUACCAAAAACU